rnacentral:rRNA from 1 species
GACAGAGGGUGCAAACGUUGUUCGGAAUUACUGGGCGUAAAGCGAGUGUAGGCGGUUUGGUAAGUCGGAUGUGAAAGCCCCGGGCUCAACCCGGGAAGUGCACUCGAUACUGCCAAGCUAGAGUAUCGGAGAGGUUGGUGGAAUUCUCGGUGUAGAGGUGAAAUUCGUAGAUAUCGGGAGGAACACCAGUGGCGAAGGCGGCUAUCUGGACGAAUACUGACGCUGAAGUUCGAAAGCGUGGGGAGCAAACAGG